rnacentral:rRNA from 1 species
UACGAAGGGGGCUAGCGUUGCUCGGAAUCACUGGGCGUAAAGCGCACGUAGGCGGCUUCUUAAGUCAGGGGUGAAAUCCUGGAGCUCAACUCCAGAACUGCCUUUGAUACUGAGGAGCUUGAGUCCGGGAGAGGUGAGUGGAACUGCGAGUGUAGAGGUGAAAUUCGUAGAUAUUCGCAAGAACACCAGUGGCGAAGGCGGCUCACUGGCCCGGUACUGACGCUGAGGUGCGAAAGCGUGGGGAGCAAACAGGAU